rnacentral:tRNA from 1 species
ACUUGAAUAGCUUAUUUAGAGCAUGACAUUGAAGAUGUUAGGGAGAUGAAUUAUCUUUAAGUA